rnacentral:tRNA from 1 species
AUUUAAGUAGCUUAAUUUAAAAGUUUAAUAUUGAAGUUAUUAAUAUAGGUGUAGUACCUCUUAAAUA